CCUUGGCACAUGUGAGCAGGAGCCUGGCAUGGGCAGAGCUGUGUCAGGAAGGUGGCGGUGCUUAUGUGAACUGUGCUGAGACCAGGCCAUGGCAGCGCGUCCUGUCACCAAAUCCAGGAGGGCCUGCAGACGUGAACCUGGAGAGGCUCAGGGCUGGGGAGUUUGGAGGUUUCGUGGAAGGCUUGAUGGGAGAAAGCAGAGGCCUGGGAAGGUUCCGCGGAGAAGGGCAGAGGCCUGGGAACGAGUCGGCGGGGACCGUCCAGGUGAUGGCAGAGCCUGUAAGGCCCCUGUGGGCGUGAGACGACGUGGAAACCAGGUUCCCGCAGCCACCGCCGCGUGCUGCAUUCCUUGCGCGUCCACGGAAUGAAUGGCUUCUGCAUCUUU